UACGAAGGGGGCUAGCGUUGCUCGGAAUCACUGGGCGUAAAGGGCGCGUAGGCGGCUCGCCAAGUCAGGGUGAAAUACUUCAGCUUAACUGGAGAAGUGCCCUUGAUACUGGCGGGCUAGAGUUCGGUAGGGGAGACUGGAAUUCCUGGUGUAGCGGUGAAAUGCGCAGAUAUCAGGAGGAACACCGGUGGCGAAGGCGGGUCUCUGGGCCGAUACUGACGCUGAGGAGCGAAAGCGUGGGGAGCGAACAGG
rnacentral:rRNA from 1 species